UUCCUAAAAAUUCUCAGUGCAAACAAGUACGCGAGAGGAAGGCGCCAGGUCGUUUGCUUGCGGCAGCCGCUCGCUCUCCACAUAGCGAUGAUACACUGGCUGUAAUAUGUUUUUAUGGCUUAAGUAUAUCUCCUGUUUAUGAUCGGUUUUAUAUCCGGAAAUGCUGAGGAGGAGGAGAGGCAGAACACCAGACCCAGCACUGGGCUUACACAACAGGCAGAAAAUAACGCUCCCCCACAGGGUGCGAAACCUCAACAAGCCGGCGUGAUGAUGCUAUAAAACUGCAAGUGCUCUCCAGGAAAACCGCAACUUCAGUGUUACCUUCACAAAGGCCCCAGAAUCCACAGAAGAAGCCGCCGUCUGCGUCCAGGAGACAAUUAUUGGUGACUACUGAUCUAUGGAAAAUGUUAAAUACCGAGAUUUACCAAAUGUUACGCCGUGCCUAUCCUGAUACUGUCCCCGGCCUGAGCUCAGAAUGUCACCAGUGCCGUGUGUUACCCACAUUAAUAUCUGCCAGCCGGAGACAUAACGUACCAGCGAACAACAGUGCAGAACCUGCCAGCAAAAACCUUCUGCUCUGGAUUUUAAUAAAUUUUUAAAAAACAACUUCAAGCUGUCACAGAAUGAGUUACUGCUCCCGACUGAUGAGAAACGAUAAGGCUGCAUUCACACAACAGGGAAAAAAUGGCCAUUA